UCCCUGCGUGCUUUCAGAAUUUAGAGCUACUGCGUGCCCACACUCCACACCGUCACCAACCUCCCCCGUCAUCCUUAGGCUAAGCCCAUCCCCACCCUUGUCGCCGGCCACCUCAGUGCGUGAUAGCAGGACCUAGUUACUCACACUCUCUGUUGGGAAGCCAAGAGCCUGCACAGCCUGCCCUCGGGUAACAGCUGCAGGCUCUUGGUGCCGGCAGGACAGGCCUGGGCGGGCGCCGUGCGGAAGAGACUUGCGAUCAUGGCCACGUUUGGACCAGCCCACUACGGAUCGUGUCGGCGAUGCGCUGAUGCCGAGUGCAGCCCGCGGCCUGGACUACGCUGUAUGCAGUAGAACUGCAGUUGGCCGUACGACGCCAAACGGUGUUGGGCGGCCCGGCUCCUUGGCACAGCCGUAGCGCACCAGAGGUAGGUGAGCUGUGAUUGGAUGCGUAUAUCUUUUCACUUGCUCGUGGUGGUGAAAGGAGCACGUUGAUAGCAUAAAAGCACAUCUCCGAUGUCGAAUGUCUCUUUUCCCGUGUUGCUCUUGUUAUCCCGCCAGCUGACGCUCUCCCUUUUUUUCCGUCGCAUGCUCUUCUUCCAAAAGAAGAACGGUAAUACAUGGACGAUCUCCUCGUCGGUGUCUUCCUUCGAAAGCUGCACCGUCGCUUUCUCGGUGCUUGUUUUCGGACUGAUGCUCAUUGUGUCCGUGGUCGUGUCGAGUGGUUCGUUUCUGACCCCCUCAUCCGCUCUCCUUGAUUCAGGGCGGGGGUUUUUGGAGGAGGGAAGAUGGGACUUCCUGUCCCGAAUGGUGGCAACAGCGGCGUUAUGAUGGCACGGUUGAUUGAUCGGAGAUCAUCGGGCACGGUCGAGGCAGCUCUUCACGCCGCUUCUUCCAGUGCACCACAGACUUGUGAAAAUCUGUGAUUGUGCAUCGCUCUCGGUUAGUAUUCUCUCCAUCCCUCAAUACACUUCCUAUGCGAUACAGGGCAGAAGAAAAAAGGAGAGUAGCCAGACGGUGACGGUAUUCCCCUUCGUGUAUGCGUGUGGCAUCGCCGCCAUGCCCUUAAUAUGAGAAAGAGAGGGAGAAGGCAGGACGGCCAGUGGCGGCGGCUCGAUACAAAGGCGCAACGGCGAAUGAUGAUCACCAUGCUACCCCCCCAUCUUCGUUCCCUCAUCGUACCCUGCCCCACACCACUCGCUCGUCUUGCCUCAUCGCAUCUCCACGUGUACAUGCACCGUUUCAUUUGUUUUGAAG
rnacentral:misc_RNA from 1 species